AUAAUCUAAAAAUAGAACCCUAGGUCUAGAAAACCCAGGGUCAUGGUGUGUGUGUGUGUGUGUGUGUGUGUGUGUGUGUGUGUGUGUGUGUGUGUGUGUGCUAGAGCCUGCCGGUGUCUAUGUGUGAUCAUGACACACGUGGAAGUCUGAGGACAACUUUGUGGACUCAGUUUACUCGGGUUCUGAGGACUCAGGUCAUCAGGUUUGAGUAGCAAGCUCAGUUACCCACUGAGCCACCCGGCUGGCCCAAGGCCCUGACAGAAGCACAGAGAACUGCUGAGAUGUCCCAGGUUGAACCAGCUCACCAGGUUUGACCAUUCUACCAUCACAUCCUGCAUGUGCCGGAGUGAUGGAACAUACUGAGAAAGGGACGCGUGGCCACCCACGCCCGUCGCUGAGCCAACAUCCUUAGCUCCACAACAGGAGAGACCGAAGGGGAGCAGAGGAUCCCAGCAAUCAGCAGGGCGCCCCGGAAAAGGCAAGGUGUGUGUGCGUCGGGGGCGGGGGGAACGGCCAGGGGCUACAGGGCCGUAGUGCGCCUGCGCCGUUCCCAGGCCGCGCCCC